GAUGAACGCUGGCGGCGUGCCUAAUACAUGCAAGUCGAACGAACAGACGAGGAGCUUGCUCCUCUGACGUUAGCGGCGGACGGGUGAGUAACAUGUGUAUAACCUACCUAUCAGACUGGGAUAACUACGGGAAACCGGAUCUAAUACCGGAUAAUAUAUUGAACCGCAUUGUUCAUUAGUGAAAGACGGUUUUGCUGUCACUAAUCGCUGGAUCCGCGCCGAAUGAGGUGGUUGGGAAGGUAAAGGCUUACCAGGGCGACGAUGGGUAGCCGAUAUGAGAGGGUGAUCGCCCACACUGGGAGUGAGACAGGGUCCAGACUCCUAAGGGAGGCCGCAGUAGGGAAUCUUCCGCAAUGGGCGAGAGCCUGACAGAGCAAGGCCGCGUGAGUGAUGAAGGUCCUCGGAUCGUAAAGCUCUGUUUUUGGGGAAGAACAAAUGUGUACGUAACUGUGCAGUUAUUGACGGUACCGGGUCAAAAAGCACCGGCUAACUACGUG
rnacentral:rRNA from 1 species